AUAACAUCAUACCGUCGAACUGUGCAUUAUUAUAGGAUCAUACAGUCAUGUUCUCAGAAAAAAGAACAUAAGUAUGACCAUACUUGUUCUGUCAUAUUAACAACAUCUUGUAUAUAUAUGCAAAUAAUUAUCUCUUGAAUGAAUCUCAGGACAAAACAACAUGGAGGUGCUUAAUUGCUGAUUAGUGGCAAACAAGACCGAACAUAAAAUAAGGUUGCUUGCAAAAUCAGGAGGACAAGCACACACCUAACUUGUGAUCUUGUAAAUAUAUUAUUAUAUUUAUAAUUUAUUCAUCGGUGUACUAACACUUAUUUCUGAGUCGGGUGACACUGUCAAUAAAAGUGUAGUAGAAUCUAAAGCUAGUCACCUCUUUCUCUUCGACUCCGCCUCCGUUCACAUAUUGUAAUUAACUUUAAUCUGACUCAAACAUUUUUACAUCUGGUAUUCAAUCUCUAUAAAUUUACAUAUUUAACAGCAUGCAGAUUAUAUAUCAUGAAAAGUAUUUCUCAUGGAGAAUCUAAAAACGUAGGAGUAAUUCUAAUAUAUGAUGUUAAAUUAUAACAAUUUGUAGAAGUUGGUGGCCAAAUAUAGAAAUGUUUAACUUUGGAAAAAAAUAGAACAAAAAAUCUUCCCAAAAUAGACAAAUUAAUUGAAGAGUAUUCAUAAAAAAAUAACAUUAUUAGUUAUGUUGUACUUCAUCCCAAUGCAAAUAAAUUAAUUUAUAGAGUUGUCCUG
rnacentral:lncRNA from 1 species